AGAGCGAACGCUGGCGGCAGGCCUAACACAUGCAAGUCGAGCGCGUGUAGCAAUACACGAGCGGCAGACGGGAGAGUAACACGUGGGAACGCGCCCUUCGGUUCGGAAUAACUCAGGGAAACUUGAGCUAAUACCGGAUACGCCCUUACGGGGAAAGAUUUAUUGCCGAAGGAACGGCCCGCGUCCGAUUAGCUAGUUGGUGAGGUAACGGCUCACCAAGGCGACGAUCGGUAGCUGGUCUGAGAGGAUGACCAGCCUCACUGGGACUGAGACACGGCCCAGACUCCUACGGGAGGCAGCAGUGGGGAAUAUUGGACAAUGGCGCAAGCCUGAUCCAGCCAUGCCGCGUGGAUGAUGAAGGCCUUAGGGUUGUAAAGUCCUUUUAACGGGGAAGAUAAUGACGGUACCGUAGAAUAAGCCCCGGCUAACUUCGCGCCAGCAGCCGC
rnacentral:rRNA from 1 species